rnacentral:lncRNA from 10 species
AUCCGCUUCUGCUGUCCCAAGAUGACUUUCAGCCCAGGUCAGCCCAGGAGACGGAGCUUAAUGUCACUCCCCUUGAGUGUGGACUGAAUUUAGUGACUCAAUUUCCAAGAAUUGAGCAAGAAAAGGGAAAAAUAAUAACUUUAUGUUGGAGAAAUGCACAGAGUUCACCUUGCCCAAGUGAUCAAAGGUGACUUCACAGUGGUAAGUCAGGACAAUACCCUGCACCCUGACGUGAUGUCGUGAAAGGGCACUCGCGUACGUGGUAUUCUCUCCACAAGUCCAUAACCCACGGCAAUUGUGAGUAAGCCUCAGACAAACCCCCACCGCGGGUCACUCUCCGACAUUGCUGGCAAUCCUCUUCAAGAGUGUGCAGGUUAUGAAAGGCCAGGACACACUGAGAAAGGGUCCCAGAUGUGAGGAGACGAAGGAGAUUUGACAGGAGAAGCAUGAUGGGAUCCUGGAACAGAGCAAGAACGUUAGUGAAGAACAGGUGAAAUGCUGCUAGAGCCUGUUGGUUCUUUGAUAAUAGCGUACCAAAAACAAUUUUUUAGUUUUGAUAACUGUACCAUGGUUAUGUAAUACAUUAACACUGGGGAAGCUCAGUGAAUAUGUGGACUCUUGGACUAUUUUUAUAACGCUUCUUGUGUAGAAGGUCUAAAAUGAUCUCAGAAUACAAAUUUAAAUAAAUUAAUUUAAUGCUCAAAACACCCUUGAUUGGAACUUACAGCUGGCCCUCUGUAUUCAUGGGUUCAACCAAUCACUAAUUAAAAAUAUUGGAAACAAAAAUUGCAUCUGUACUGACCAUAUGCAGACUUUUUCUUGUUAUUAUUCCCUGAAUAACACAGUAUACCGACUCUUUACAUAGCAUUUACAGCACAUUAGGUAUUGUAAGUAACACAGAGAUGAUCUGAAGCAUAUGGGAGGGUGUGUGGAGGUGGUAUGCAAACACUGCACCAUUUUACAGCACGGACUUGAGCAUCUGCAGAUUUUGGCAUCUCCGGG